rnacentral:rRNA from 1 species
GAUGAACGCUAGCGGGAGGCUUAACACAUGCAAGUCGAACGGUAACAGGCCCUUCGGGGUGCUGACGAGUGGCGCACGGGUGCGUAACGCGUAUGCAACCUGCCUUAUGCAGGGGGAUAGCCCAUGGAAACGUGGAUUAAUACCCCAUAGUAUCAAUUAUUCGCAUGGAUAAUUGAUUAAAACUUCGGUGGCGUAAGAUGGGCAUGCGUAGGAUUAGCUAGUUGGUGAGGUAAUGGCUCACCAAGGCAACGAUCCUUAGGGGUCCUGAGAGGGUUAUCCCCCACACUGGUACUGAGACACGGACCAGACUCCUACGGGAGGCAGCAGUGAGGAAUAUUGGUCAAUGGGCGCGAGCCUGAACCAGCCAUCCCGCGUGCAGGAUGACGGCCUUCUGGGUUGUAAACUGCUUUUAUACGGGAGCAAAGAGUCCCUGCGGGGAAAAUUGAGAGUAUCGUAUGAAUAAGCACCGGCUAACUCCGUGCCAGCAGCCGCGGUAAUACGGAGGGUGCAAGCGUUGUCCGGAUUUAUUGGGUUUAAAGGGUGCGUAGGCGGCGUAAUAAGUCAGUGGUGAAAGCCGGCAGCUCAACUGUCGAGGUGCCAUUGAUACUGUUAUGC